AGGAGGAAGAAGAAGAAACUGCCGAGGAUGGAGAGGAGGAGGAUGAAGGGGAGGAAGAAGAUGAGGAAGAAGAAGAAGAGGAUGACGAAGGGCCCGCGCUGAAGAGAGCUGCUGAAGAGGAGGAUGAAGCAGAUCCCAAGCGGCAGAAGACAGAAAAUGGGGCGUCGGCAUGAGCCCCCUGCCAACGGGCUGGGGGUGGGAGGCCCCUCAGGGCCUGGAGGUGGGGGUGGGACAGAAAAGCCCAGCCUCUCUUCACCUGGCUCCCUGCUCUCGGCCCCGCACCUGAGUGGCCACCCUCCUCUAUCCCCCAAGCCUCUCACUUCCACCUCUCCAGACACCACCCCAGCCAUCCUCACUUGCCAUUGUCCCACCUCCUGACCUGUUCAUCUGAGCUCCCCAGCUGGGCCCUAGUUGCUCCUCUCCGUUUCCUUGAUCGCUUCCUCCCUCCCCCUAGAAAAUUUCACCCCUUCACCUAUAGCCUCUCCUACCCACCUCCGCAUCGUCCAGCCUCAUUUCUUGCCCCAUCCUUCUGCCUGAUCCCUGGAACUCCCUCAGAUCCCCUCCUCUCAGACAGCGCCAGGCCAGGGUGGGGCCGGGGUUGGGGCCGAGCCCCAGAGCUGCCCCCCUCCCCUCCCCUUUUUGUAUAAUUUAAUAAAGAAACGGUCGCGCUUCUGUUUUUAA